GGCCCACUCUGUUCUCCAGGCUUGUUACGUGGAUUUCUCUCUCUGCAAGUAAUUCCUCAGCAUCUCCUUGAAUGGCAUCUACCACACUAGAUAACUUUUCUAACCUGCAAUGCUGAAACAGCUUCCCAUAACUGAAAUGACUCCAGCACAGCUAUUCCCUAGAAGACAUCCUCCCUGAUUUCUUGUGGGGCCUGUAAGAUGACUGAAGUUGUAGGUCACAUUAACCUCCAGUGGCUGAAAGUCCUCAAAGAGAACAGCAUACACUGAUGAAAGUAUCUGCAAUGAUGUCUGCUUCAUGCAAGGGCCCAAAGCCUUCCAGAAGAACUGCUAGGGUCCAAGGACAUCUUCUAGAUUAUCUCAGGCAACAGCUCUUGUUCCAAGUUUAUGGAAAGGGUUCAUGUAUGAUUUGCAGUCCUAUGAGGGUGAAUGUUCUCUGAGAGACAAGCUGGUGCUUGUGUUCUUUAUCUCUUCUCAAGAAAUUUUCCAUCCUUUUGACUUUUAUCAUUUUUGUUGCCAUUCUCUGGACUUGUUCUUUUUCUACUUCCUUUUUUCAGGGAUGAGGUGACCAAACUUGAAGACAGUAUUCAAAGUGAGGAUGUGCCACUGAUUUAUAUAAUAGCAUUAUAAUAUUUCCCAUAUUAUUCUCUAAAACUCUUUUCUUCGUACAAACCCCAUAAGAUUCUUUUUAAUUCUUUGAACUGCAGUGCCUUUUAACAUCUGUAGUUUACUCUGAUCAGAUUUCGACAAAGGAAUAAAAGGCUCCAUUUUUCACAUAGAAUUUUAUUUAUUGUUUGAACUUUAGAGGAGAAAUUGGUUAACUUACAAUUUAAAAUUCUUGGCAAUGUAGACCAUUGGGCAAAGAUUUAAUUAUCAGCCCUUCCAUACUUUCUGUAGAAAUGUGUGAGGCUGAAAGUUGGUACAAGGUCUUGGCUUAAUAGACUUGUCUUUUGUUUUACAAACACAGCCAAAGACUUAAUUUAGAGCUGUCAGCAUCCCCAAAGAUGUCAGAAAUGUCUUUCACCUGUACCUCCUUCCCAAUGAAGCAUGCUGGGGCCGUGUAUUUACAUGCCGUUCAACCAGGACCACACACACGUGCAAGCAGUACCCGAGUUCUGUGGUGUCCUCUUCGCUGUACUGCACACCUCCACACCAGCUCAGGGAAGACCCCUUUGAAAAUGAGGUGCUUGAUAACUGCAGACGGUGAGGAUGUCACUCUCAUGUCACAGCCGGGUGUUAUGCCUUCAUCAGGGUUUUAGAAAAGGCCCAGGGAAAACAGUUAUGUCUCUUCUAUUGCCCAAGACACUUCCUGCAGCUACUGCCUUUCCUUAGAGUUACCAAUCCAAGUGCUGACCCUGCCUGACCCUACUUAUCUUGUAAAAGCUGACAAGAUCACAGCCUGAAGCAGUAUAGCCACAGGCUUAAUACUGGCUACCAAAAUGUCUGUUUAGUAUUUUCAAGAAAUGCUGCUCUAAAGAUUUACAAUACUAGCUGCUAGAUAUAUGGACAACACCAACACACAGCCCUGACCCCUGAACAUUCAGCCUCACUUACACAGAAAUUUGUGCCUCUCAAGGGGCCAACACCGAGCUGCCACAAAACAGUGAUUCCCUAUGUGCAAGUGAGCUGGAAUGUAAGCAUCAUGUGAUUACAUACACUCAGAUAUUGGGUAAAAGUGUUUGAAAACAGAAUUCAUUGUUAGCUGCUUUCAUCAGUUGCAUUUCUGCUUUAGCAAUAGAAAGAGCUCUGCCAUUUCUGUGUAAUAUAUAUAUAUAUUUUAGUUUAGUGUAGAGAAUUGUCUUCAUUCUGCCUUGACCAAGGCAGUUUUUCAUCAAAAGUUAUUCUUAGAUAACUGUAAGUUUCUUCCCGAGCAAACAUUUUAGAUACACUGUAUGAAAGCAAACACACAUUUCCUCAGAUACCUCUAAGGAUAAACACAGUUUUAAAUAUUCAAGAAAUAUUAAGGGACCGAUCUAGUUUAGUUGUAUAUACAUCCAUACACAACAUACAUUAAUAGUUCUUGCAGGAGUGGUGGUGUUUUUUAGGGUUUUUUUCCUUUUCUUUUUAGAACAGCAAAGACAUGGAAAAGGUCCUAUUGCUCCUGUCGGAAACUUCUGCUGACUGCAGCAUGAGUUGGAUUGGGCCCAGAGAAACCAAAUACACACAAGUAACAAUGAGUUGGCCAUACAAGCAAGGAAAAUCACAGAUAACAGGUGCACACAAAUUAGCAGUGUACCUUUUAGGUCAUCCAGUACAGCUCCCUGACACCAUGAGAUUGUUUCCUAUGGCAUAUUUUCGGUUGUUUUGUGUGCCUAGAUUAAAUGUCCUAAGUGAUGCCAUGUCCCUAGGGAGAGAUUGUGCUGUCUAGAGUAUCUUGUUGUCAGAAGUUUUUUUUUUCCUUUCUUAACAUCAUCAUAUUUCUCCUAGUAAUGUCCGUUUGCAAAUCUCCUUCUUUUCCUUCAUUGAUGCUAUUUUCCUUCAAUAUCUUUUAACUAGCGUGAUGUUGUGUUUAGUUAACAUUAAGCCAACCCAUAGCUAUUUAGCUCAUUUAAUCUUCCCUAACAAAUCAGUCCUUUCAGUCUCCUGGUUAAUCUUCCUCUCCUCUUGUCACACCCCUGCCUGUCAGUAUCUUUUUUAGUUAUGAGAUUUUAAAGAUGUGAUGCAUUUCUCCGAACUAAUGACAGAUCUGGUAUAGAGCUGAGUGUCCUCAAUGUCUUCUCACUGAAAAACCCUCAUGAUGUGCCCAGGGGAAAGCUGCCAGCACUCUGGAGAGACACACAGGUAGAGUAUCCUGCUCAAACCACUUCCUUGGUGCCACUUAUUCUAUGGGCCAACAAAAACCUAUAGAAACACUUAACCUAGUAGAUCAAAAACCAAAUACAUGCCAUUAUGGAUUUAUUUUACUUCUCACAAUGGUAGGAGAUAGGGUAGCACAGAUAAAAAGAUCUUUGUUGCUGUUGUUGAGAUUUUCUAACUCUUGGUCAUGGACAUUACAGUCUAAAAUUAUGGAAGAUGUCACCUUCCAUAACUAUAUCCGAGUACAGAGAGAGUACACUGUAGAAAGUAAUUAUAUACGUAGUCACAAGCCUAGCUGUUCACUUCAGGCAAUAAAUUCUGAUCAACAAACAACACUUCUUUAGUGCUAAAUGAGAUCUUGGUUGUAAUUGAAUGUCUUUACCUUUGUGUUCUGUUGGAUUGGAGGAAUAUCAUUUUAAUCUGCUCUCUUUAAAUUUUCAUUAAGGAACGUUUCAGCUACCUGCAGCCUCAUCUGAUGAUGUUUAAUGAUACCAGCUAGCUCGGUCUGCCAUGCACCAGCAGGGGCUUCUUUAAAUUGGUCAACUUUAUGGAACAUUGUUUUCAAGUCUAAUGUACUUGGAAUCAACCUUUAAAAAUAAUGGUAUCUUUAAAGACAGUUUAUAUAUGUAGUGCACAUACAUGCAUGCAUUUGUAUGUGCAUAUGUGUGUAUGCAUAUAUAUGCGUAAAUGCAUACAUGUGUACAGAAACACUGAUCCUGUUCACCUUCUUGAAAUCAUUACAGCUAGUAUUAACAUAAAUGUGCUGUUAAAUUGGCAGUGUUAUACAUUCUUGUUGGAGUUUACUUCUGUAACAUAAAAUCAGAAAGAUAAGCUGUGAAACUCAUGCAGCUGAUGACAUAAUGCUAGGAUCUCGUGAUGCUGAAUCUCAUAUUUCUAGGAGUGUGGGAUGGAUGUUCCUUGCUGAAAUAAUUAUACUGCCUAUUCCAAUAUACGCUUCCUUGUUUUCAUGUGGGCACUGAGAUGUCCAAACCAUUAAAUGUAUAUGGUAU